rnacentral:lncRNA from 1 species
GUUAAGCCAAGCCCUGAGAGUGGUGUUCUCUGGACUCACGUUACAACUGGAGGUGAUUCCAUCUCCACCAGCGCACACCAUGUUGGUUUUCACCGUGCUUCCCCACCAGUUGGUCUUGGAACAAGUUGCAUAAUCUACUACCAGCAACAGGCCUUGCUGCAGUUCAUCUGGGAGAGCUCCAUUUGCUGGGAAGUAACGGAAAUGAAGGAGUCAUGAUACCAGCUGGCAAUGAAGGAAGAGCAAAAGUGCACUGCUAAGCUUCUCCCAGGAUCUGCAUGCUAUUCCUCCAGUUUUGCCCGUCUCCCACUACUCACUCUGCAGUCUUCCCCAUCCCGUCACGUAGCAGGCAGUGUUGGAUGACAGGAUGCUUUCUGCAGGAGGGAGGCAGGCCAGCUUGAUUUUGUCACUCAGUUCAACGUGUUCGGUUCCCUUCACCAAAAACAGAUGCAUAUGUGAGGACCAAUUACAGGCACCUGGAAAAUGAGAUGGUUUCUUUGCUAAUGCGCUCAGCCCACCAGCAUGCACAGGAGUCCUUCAAAUUC